GAGAACCAAGGGUUCACCUAUGUGAACCUGUGGGGAUAUCUCUCACCUAAAUAGCAUGUGUUAUCCUUCUAUAUACUGACAUUUUGGUGUGAGAACAUACAUUUAUUGUGUUGGCUAAGAAAACGGAAUACCAGAUACAUAAUCUUUGAUGAAAGAAAAAGAAGAAGGAAGAUGAUCAUUAUACUAUCCAUGUGACAAGGCUGCGUAAGGAUUGGCCAAGAUCUUCAAUGGGAAAGGACUCAGCAUCCUGCCCUUGACCUUCUCAGAAGCUGAGCUGGAAAGUUCACUAAAGAAGGGCACAAUGUUACAUGAGAAAGAGCAUUUUGCAACUAUCUGAAACCGGGAUCUAUGUGAAAAGGAACAGCAGACAUGAGAAUGGCUCGGGUUCAUCCUGUUGAGCUGUCUGUUCUGGGAUGAGAUAAAAGCUCACAGGGUCUCAGAGACAAUACAUAUCCUAAAACAAUUUAUGGUGCCAUGGAUUAGAGUUGUAGAGUUCACAUGGAAAAAUACAAUUGAGGAAAACCAAAAAUACAAUUCUUCAGAACCAAAUUGAAGAAAAACCAACAAACUGGAAGCUACAGAAGAAAUGUUACUUGAAGAGAAACCAUAGGUCCAGAAAGAGCCUUUCUCUACUGGUGUGCACACCCUAAAGUUACCUACAACAAAGAACACGAAAGAGUUAACUCCUUGCAAAGCUAUGGUCUGUUACUCACUGGUUUCGGAAAUAAUGUUGUGAAAAUGUCCCUUAGACAUGUGUUUUAGUGGAGAUAUUUUUGGAGCAGAAGAUCCUGUGAGGGAAAACGAGGCAAUCGCAGGACUUAAGGGACUCAUGGGACAAAAAGCAGGUAAGGAUUUGGAAGACACUUACGUGGUGGAGCUGACAGUGAGUAUGAGUGUCAGGGUGUUGGUGGUUGUAGAAUUUACUGGAUUACAUGUAGAUAUGCUUCUAGGCUGUCUUUAUAUAAACUCUGAAUCUUUGGGCCAAUCUCAAUCUCAUCACUUCCAGCCUCCCUUCCCCUCUCCCUAGGUAAUUAAUGAUUUUAACAUUUUGGUGCCUUUCACAGUUUUUUUUCCCCUUCAAAGUCAGACUCUCCUUUACAUACUAACAUUAGGCGUUUGGUAAAAAUGAUCCAACCUGAACACAUCUUCUUGUUAAGAAGAAUAGCUAUUGCAAUUAUUUUUGCAUGAAUACGAAAUGUGUCAU